UAAGACGAAGGAUCCAAGCGUUAUCCGGAUUCAUUGGGUUUAAAGGGUGCGUAGGCGGACUUAUAAGUCAGUGGUGAAAGCCGAUAGCUUAACUAUCGAACUGCCAUUGAUACUGUAGGUCUAGAGUAUAGAUGAUGUUGGCGGAAUAUGACAUGUAGCGGUGAAAUGCAUAGAUAUGUCAUAGAACACCGAUUGCGAAGGCAGCUGACAAAACUAUAACUGACGCUGAUGCACGAAAGUGCGGGGAUCAAACAGGAUUAGAUACCCUGGUAGUCCGCACAGUAAACGAUGAUAACUAGAUGUUUGCGAUAUACAGUAAGCGUCCAAGCGAAAGCGAUAAGUUAUCCACCUGGGGAGUACGCUCGCAAGAGUG
rnacentral:rRNA from 1 species